rnacentral:rRNA from 1 species
CAGUACCGCGGGAAUACGUAGGGUCCGAGCGUUGUCCGGAAUUAUUGGGCGUAAAGGGCUCGUAGGCGGUUUGUUGCGUCGGGAGUGAAAACCCAGGGCUUAACUUUGGGCUUGCUUUCGAUACGGGCAGACUUGAGGCAUUGAGGGGAGAACGGAAUUCCUGGUGUAGCGGUGAAAUGCGCAGAUAUCAGGAGGAACACCGGUGGCGAAGGCGGUUCUCUGGCAAUGUUCUGACGCUGAGGAGCGAAAGUGUGGGGAGCGAACAGGAUUAGAUACCCCUGUAGUCCCUGUCUCUUAUACA